AGUGAACGCUGGCGGUAGGCCUAACACAUGCAAGUCGAACGGCAGCACAGUAAGAGCUUGCUCUUACGGGUGGCGAGUGGCGAACGGGUGAGGAAUACAUCGGAAUCUACUUUUUCGUGGGGGAUAACGUAGGGAAACUUACGCUAAUACCGCAUACGACCUACGGGUGAAAGCAGGGGAUCUUCGGACCUUGCGCGAUUGAAUGAGCCGAUGUCGGAUUAGCUAGUUGGCGGGGUAAAGGCCCACCAAGGCGACGAUCCGUAGCUGGUCUGAGAGGAUGAUCAGCCACACUGGAACUGAGACACGGUCCAGACUCCUACGGGAGGCAGCAGUGGGGAAUAUUGGGCAAUGGGCGCAAGCCUGAUCCAGCCAUACCGCGUGGGUGAAGAAGGCCUUCGGGUUGUAAAGCCCUUUUGUUGGGAAAGAAAAGCAGCAGGUUAAUACCCCGCUGUUCUGACGGUACCCAAAGAAUAAGCACCGGCUAACUUCGUG
rnacentral:rRNA from 1 species